rnacentral:rRNA from 1 species
AUUGAACGCUGGCGGCAUGCCUUACACAUGCAAGUCGAACGGUAACAGGUUAAGCUGACGAGUGGCGAACGGGUGAGUAAUGUAUCGGAACGUGCCCAGUCGUGGGGGAUAACUGCUCGAAAGAGCAGCUAAUACCGCAUACGACCUGAGGGUGAAAGCGGGGGAUCGCAAGACCUCGCGCGAUUGGAGCGGCCGAUAUCAGAUUAGGUAGUUGGUGAGGUAAAGGCUCACCAAGCCGACGAUCUGUAGCUGGUCUGAGAGGACGACCAGCCACACUGGGACUGAGACACGGCCCAGACUCCUACGGGAGGCAGCAGUGGGGAAUUUUGGACAAUGGGCGCAAGCCUGAUCCAGCCAUGCCGCGUGCGGGAAGAAGGCCUUCGGGUUGUAAACCGCUUUUGUCAGGGAGGAAAAGGUUCUGGCUAAUACCUGGGACUCAUGACGGUACCUGAAGAAUAAGCACCGGCUAACUACGUG